rnacentral:rRNA from 1 species
GACGAACGCUGGCGGCGUGCUUAACACAUGCAAGUCGAACGGUGAUGCUCCAGCUUGCUGGAGUGGAUCAGUGGCGAACGGGUGAGUAACACGUGAGCAACCUGCCUCAGACUCUGGAAUAAGCGCUGGAAACGGCGUCUAAUACUGGAUACGAAACUGGCCCGCAUGGGCAUGGUUUGGAAAGUUUUUCGGUUUGGGAUGGGCUCGCGGCCUAUCAGCUUGUUGGUGAGGUAAUGGCUCACCAAGGCGACGACGGGUAGCCGGCCUGAGAGGGCGACCGGCCACACUGGGACUGAGACACGGCCCAGACUCCUACGGGAGGCAGCAGUGGGGAAUAUUGCACAAUGGGCGAAAGCCUGAUGCAGCGACGCCGCGUGAGGGAUGACGGCCUUCGGGUUGUAAACCUCUUUCAGCAGGGAAGAAGCGAAAGUGACGGUACCUGCAGAGGAAGCGCCGGCUAACUACGUG